rnacentral:pre_miRNA from 1 species
UGUGUGAUUGCUGGGUCAUAUAGUAAGCUUAACUUUAUAAGCAUCUGUCAAAUUACAUUCCAAAGGGACUUUAUUGUUUUGCAUUCCCUCCAGAAAU